UACGUAGGGGGCGAGCGUUGUCCGGAUUUAUUGGGCGUAAAGAGCUUGUAGGCGGUUUGUCGCGUCUGCCGUGAAAAUCCGGGGCUCAACCCCGGACUUGCGGUGGGUACGGGCAGACUAGAGUGUGGUAGGGGAGACUGGAAUUCCUGGUGUAGCGGUGAAAUGCGCAGAUAUCAGGAAGAACACCCGUGGCGAAGGCGGCUCUCUGGAACGCAACUGACGCUGAGACGCGAAAGCGUGGGGAGCAAACAGG
rnacentral:rRNA from 1 species